GUGCAGCUCCGUCCUGUAUGGAGUUCAGGGCUUUAAGUAGUUUCGGCUGAAGCUCUUGCGUGAAGACCUUGUAGUAUUGGAGGGGCAGUCCAUCUGGCCCCGGUGCCUUCCCCGUUUUGGCUUUCUUGAUGGCGUAUGCCAACUCUUCGGGUGUUAUAGGCGCUUCUAGCGCGUCUUUCUCUGCUCCUGUUAUAUCUGGCAUGUUUGCUGAGUUCAGGUACUGGCGUAUGUCUGCCGUUUUCUGAUGUCUCUGGUCGUCCUGUGCUUCCUUGCGGAGGUGGUAAAGGUCUUGGUAGUAUCGUUGGAACUCCGUUGCUAUUUGGUCUGGGAGGUGUCUGAUUUGCUGCUGUGCGUUUUUUAUUUUCGGUAUAUACAGUUGUGUCUUACGUUGCCUCAGGAGGUUCGCCAGCAGUCUCCCGCACUUGUCUCCGUGUUCAUGUAUCAUGUGUCUGUAGUGUUCGUACACGCGUUGGAUCCUCCUGUUAAGGUGCGCUGUGAGCUGGUUGCGUUUAUCUGUUAGCUCUCUGUAUAUUGUUGUUUCUAAGGUUCGUUUAUGUCUGGCUUCCAGGGUCGCAAUUUCGCUGCUCAGCCUGGUUAUUUCCCGUACCGCCGUCUUUUUGCGGUUCGCGCAUAUUGCUAUAAUCUGACCUCGUACUACCGUCUUGUGUGCUUCCCAGCAUGUCAUUGGUGUCACAUCCUCCGUUUCAUGAGCUUGGAAGUAGUCUCGUAUGGUUUGGCCUAUUUUAUCAGUCACUGUCACAUCCGAUAGGAUUGAUUCGUUCAGUCUCCAGGACAUCUGUCUGGGCUUAAAUAACGGUGAUGCCAUCCAUAUGCGGAUCGGGCAGUGGUCCGACCACGUCAUCGGCAGGAUGUCUGCUGCCUUGAGUAGGGCCAAGUUGUGGUGUGCUAUUAAGAAGUAGUCUAGCCUCGUGUAUGUUGCGUGGGUCUGUGAGUAAAAUGUGUAGUCCCGCGUUGUUGGGUUCAGCGCUCUCCAGCAAUCCGCCAAUUGGUGUUGGUGCAGUAGACGGAGUGUGUUCGCGUGUCGAUUAUGCGGGGUUUUGCCGAGUGCCGAUGUGGAGUCUUGGUCUGGGUGCAGAGUCAGGUUCAAAUCUCCCCCCACGAACAGAGUGCCUUCUGCGAACUUCAUCAGGG